rnacentral:rRNA from 1 species
UACGUAGGGUGCGAGCGUUGUCCGGAAUUAUUGGGCGUAAAGAGCUUGUAGGCGGUCUGUCGCGUCUGCUGUGAAAAUCCGGGGCUCAACCCCGGACUUGCAGUGGAUACGAGCAAACUAGAGUGUUGCAGGGGAGACUGGAAUUCCUGGUGUAGCGGUGAAAUGCGCAGAUAUCAGGAGGAACACCGGUGGCGAAGGCGGGUCUCUGGGCAACAACUGACGCUGAGGAGCGAAAGCGUGGGGAGCGAACAGG